rnacentral:lncRNA from 1 species
CUACCACUGAGCUAAAUCCCCAACCCCUUGAAACAACAUUUUAAUACAGUCUGUCCAGCCUUGUCUCUUAAGUUGUGCUUUCUGUCAGUAGAAAGCAGUAAUGAUGAUCCAGGUGAUCUGGGAGGUGUUGGAUAGGUAGAUCAUUUGAUCCAGGUGGUCUGGGAGGUGUUUGGAUAGGUGGAUCAUUUGAUCCAGGUGAUCUGGGAGGUGUUUGGAUAGGUGGAUCAUUUGAUCCAGGUGAUCUGGGAGGUGUUUGGAUAGGUGGAUCAUUUGAUCCAGGUGAUCUGGGAGGUGUUUGGAUAGGUAGAUCAUUUGAUCCAGGUGAUCUGGGAGGUGUUUGG